AAAAGCUGCAGUACAUUUUGCCAAAUUUUGGAGCCAUCAACGAAAAUUUUCAAAAAGCCCUAAUUCUAAUUCAAUUCUUUGUCAAUUGUUCAUUUCCCCCUAAUAAAUUAUUACACUGUUUCAAAUUGAAAAUUUUAGGGUUUGAUCCAUCUCUUCAAUGUCGAUGCUGUGUCCCUAGGGGAACGAUUUGUUUGUUUAUGGGGAAAAGCAAAGCAAAUACUUCUUCUAUAUGGAGACGACGUCGUUGUUGCGAAGAAAGAUGCUUUGUCGAUGGAGAUGUCCCUGAAGCUAAACUUUCUUUCUCUACAACACCAUCAUCACUUUAUAUCUUCUUUCUCUCUCUAAAUUCACACCCUCCCCCACAAUGAAGAAGAAGAAACGAGAUAGCGCCGUCGCCGGAGUUCAAAUCAUCCACGGCGCACUCUUCCACCGCUGCCGCCGCCACCUCCACCACUUCAUCCUGCUCCUCUCCGCCGUCGCCAGCGCCCUUCUCUUCCUCAUCGCCGUCAUUUCAUUUCUCUCUCCUCCGAUCACCAACCAUAGCCACCCACACAGCUCGUUGGAAAAAAAUGGGUAUGUGGUUCGAUUGAAUGUGGAACGAAGGAUGGUCUUUCUUGUUCCGUUUCGAUUUUGCUUGUGAUUUGUUGAAUUUUUCUGACGAAUGGAGGGAGUUUAGGCCGUGAUCUAUGGAGCUCGAGGCAAUCGAAUAUCCAUUACGGAUGCAGUAAUGCCAACUAUAAAUUUCCGAAUCAUUGUAUUGUCUUCUCAAUCUCUGUGUCUACACACACACACGCACACAUUAUCUGUGCUUUUACUCCCUUAGCGAAAAUUGCAAUUUAUAAACAGAAAUCUAGGGAUCGAAAUUUGAGCUAGAUUAAGCAAUCUUUGACUUUUCUUUUUUAUUUGACAAUUUAUUGAAAGCGUAGUUUUGUCAUUGCUAUAGUGUAACUAGAGGAUUUGACAGGCUUUUUGUACUUUUUUUUUCUGUUGAUCCUCUUUAGUAGAAACAUCCUCUUAGAAGAAACAUUUUCUUAUCCCGCCCCUGAGGGAGACUGUAGGGUUAACGCAAGAUCUAUUCAUUUUUUUUGAUGACUGUUUGUGCAUAAUUGAGUAGUAGCAAAUCUUUAUGGUAUUACUAGCAAAUCUAUUCGUUUUUGUUGUUACUUAUAUCUGAGAAAAAAUACUUUUAAUUUAUAAUUGGGGGUGUAAUUGUGAAGAUCAUGUCUUCUUUUUUUUUUUUUUUUUUUUUUCUCGAUUUUUUCCAUUUAUUUAUUUUUUAUUAUUUAAUUAUUUAAUUUAUUAUUUAACUGAUUGAUUUUUUUUUUUUUUUUUUUUUCGCAUAACCUUAGGGUUUUGAGUUCGGAUUUGAUUUUCGGCAUCGCAUGCAUUCACCUCAUUUUAUUUUCAUAAAAUACGUAGUCUUACUUUGAUAGAAAAGUAUGCUAGCUUGUUUUACUUUUUGAGGGGUGUGGAUAUAUAAUUUCUUUGGAAAUAUUUUCACUUUUUGGGAUGCUUUGUGUAAUUAACUUUUUGGGAUAUUUUUCUUUAGAGAUUAUUUUGCAAUUAUUUUGUGAGAUAUUUUGGGGACCAUUUUAUAAUUUUUGGAAAGUGUGACAAGUGUCACACUCUUAUUGGAUCACUUGUUGACUUUGUGGUGGAAACACUUGGAAGCCUUGUUUUGUGACAAGUGUAGGGUGAGGAUUGGCCUUUGGUUGGUGUACUUGUUGGCUUAAGAUUGUGACAAGUGUAGGCCUGUGAUUAAGCCUUGUGAGGAGGCCUAUGAUCUUGACAAGUGUAGGCUUAGGAUUAAGUCUUGUGAGGGUGCUUUUGAUCAUGACAACUGGAGGGUAGAGAUUAGUGUGUGUGUGUGCGGUAGUGCUAGGGGUGGCAAAUUACGACACGAUACGAUAACACAACACGAGUUAAAAGGGUUUGGGUUUGGCAUAAACGGGUUUGGGUCAUAAAGGGUCGACACGAUUAACUCAUUUACUUAAUUGUGUUGGGUUAGGGUUGAGGAGUUUAACCCGUGUAACUCGUUUAUGACCCAUUUAACUUAACAUGUUAUAAUUGUGAUUAUGACAUAUGUAAUAUGUUACCUGUUUAAACCCAAUUACUAUGGAUAGUUAAGUCAUUUUAAUAUAAACCUUGUUUAUGCCUUAUGAUUUUUCUUUUUAUUUUGAAUAUUUGGGUUAAUUAUGACAAUUUUUUUUUCUAUUAUUUAGUAUUUGAUUAAAUAUUAAAUGUCUCAUUUUAAUAAACAUGUCAUUAAACGGGUUAACACGCUUACCUGUUUAAUAAACGGGUUGGGUUAGUGUUGAGAUUUUUGACACGAUUAUUAAAUGGGUUGGGUUUGGGUUUACCUAUUUAGUAUAACAUCCUUAUAUCGACACGACACGAACACGACCCACGAACACGAAUUGCCACCUCUAGGUAGUGCUAGCAUUGAUGAAUUGCUUUGUGUCACACAUUGUGAGUGGAAAAAGAUGUAAUCUUCCACUCAUUUCAUCUUCUUCCUCAUACCUCUCCUUGGCCACCAUUAAACUAAUAACUUCAUUUUAACUACCUUCCCCUCAUAUUGACUUUUUUUUGUGACCAAACUACCCUCAUCACAAUCACUACCUUCCCCGACUCUGUGUUGUGAACCUUCUUCCACUUUCUCUCUCUACCUUUCUGUCAUGAUUGUUGAAUUUUUCCCAGACAAGAAAAGAGUUUUAGAGAGAGAGGGGCAAUUGCAAAGAAGGGCGACAAAGAUCUUUGGUGUCUAAAAUUGCCAAAUUUGUUUUAUUUCUCUUUCCUCAAUCAUUCUCUUCCUUCUUCGAUUUAGGUUUUUUUUCCACCACUGACAUUUUGUUUUUCCCACCAAAUCAAACACACACACACACAUAUAUAUCACCAAUCACCCCCACGAUAUACUGCCGCCGCAUCAGAGCUCCACUAUCCACACCCACAUUCAUCAUCACCCCCCACAACCACCACCAAAUUUACACCAAAUCAAACUAAAUAAUUACCUUCUGAAAAACAAAUUGACACCACCCAUAGCCACCACCAAGGCUUCACCUUCGUCCCCGUCACAACAUAGCUUCCACCACAGAGAACCUAAGACCCCAAACGGAGCUCCGACGCCGUCAUCACUGAUUGCUCUGACUAGAUGCCGACAUUAGGAGCUCGCUGUUGCUUUGUCGUCACUUGGUAACACGCUGAUAUGAACUUGGUUUUGUUACUUGGAGCUCGUCGGAAUUGAGUUUGGUUUCGCUGACACUAAGAGCUUGCCGGAAUUGGGUCAGUUCAGUUCUGACAUUCGUCGCCGGAGAUGAACUAGGUUUCGCUACUUGGGGAUUCACUAGGAUCACGAGACGCGGAUUUUCGCUACCGAUUAUGACGCCAUCAAGGCUUACGUACGCCAGAAAGUCAAGGUCGAGGGUUCCGGCGUCGACGGUGGUGAUCAACAGUGCAAUGUUGGAGAGCUUACAAGGGUUGGGUCCAGCCCUCCCGUUGGAGCACGAGACGCGGAUUUUCGCCGCCGAUUACCACACCGCGGCCGUAAGCCUGUAAUCUCUGCCCCCACCUCUGCGCCCCAAUCUAGUCAAGAUGCUGACUUGCCCUUUACUAGUGUAGUGGGGUGAUGGUCUACCGAAACUCGAGCUUUUACUCUACAAACCUGUUCAUAGUUGCUUCCUCAUAAUAUAGAUGAUAAAAAUGACUGCUUACAUUCGAAAAUAAGGGCUUCAAUCUGUGAUGCCAUGGCGGAUGUUGAAGUUUCAGUUGCGACAACAAUUGACUAUUGCUUCCGUUAAACCCUUUGACAUUGAUCUUCUUGGGCAAGGGCUGGAACGGGCUGAACUGAAGAAGUGAAGGGAUGAGAUGUCGAUCGACUAGAAUGAUUGGGAAAGCUUUUCCACAUUUACAGCUUCAGAGCUACUUAGAUUCUUGGAACUUGAAGAAAAAGAAAGUGCUAGCAAGAAGACAUGACUGCUUGGGGUACCGAAAAGGGUAUGUAGUAGUGGAUGUGGAGUUGGGAACAGUAGUGGUUAUGGUCGAGAGGAUGGUGGCGGUGGUGUGGGGUUGGGAUAGGGGGUGUUUUGUCAUUUAAGAUUUUAUAUUUUUUGUAUUAAAAAAUUAAGGGUAAAAGAGUCAAUUCGCAUGAUUGGAGUGUAAGUAAAAGUUAAAACUAAAAUUUUCAUCUAGUUAAAAUAUGACCUAACCUUAGGAGGUAUCGGUGUAAUUUACCCUAAAAAAAUAACUCAUAAAACCAGUGAAUGAAAUAAGGGUAAAAUGCUUGACACCUUCUAAAUUAAACUAAUGAAAAAUAAAUAAAUGCUCAACUCUCUCUUCAGUUUUGUUUGACUUUACUUUGAUAGUUGAUUACAUGUGUUAAAAUCAAUUAAUGUGAAAAUACAAAAUGCCAAAACUACCAUUUCGUGUUGUGAAAUGUACAAAUAAGCCCUAACCACUUUUUAAAAGGACAGUUUUGACUCAAUUAGUUAGACCUUUUUACCCUCAUAUGUGAAGACUUUAUUAUUAUUAUUAUUAUUUACACUUUUAAAUGAAGUUUUUCUCUUUACCUUUUGUUUUUUUAGUUCAAUUUAUUGAAAGAAUAUAAAGAGUCCAUAUUAAAUUGAAAGAAUAUUCUUAGUUGGAGAGAGGGACGCAACUCAUUGAACUCAACUUGCAAAUCACCCCCAAAAACAAAAACAAAAAUAAAAAAAAAAAAUUAAAAUAAUGAUUCGUUCAAGAAAUACCGAGUUUUGUGGAGAGACUGAUGCAA